rnacentral:rRNA from 1 species
CCUACGGGAGGCUGCAGUGAGGACUAUUGGUCAAUGGACGAGAGUCUGAACCAGCCAAGUAGCGUGAAGGAUGACUGCCCUAUGGGUUGUAAACUUCUUUUAUAAAGGAAUAAAACGAGGCACGUGUGCCUUUUUGCAUGUACUUUAUGAAUAAGGAUCGGCUAACUCCGUGCCAGCAGCCGCGGUAAUACGGAGGAUCCGAGCGUUAUCCGGCUUUAUUGGGUUUAAAGGGAGCGUAGAUGGGUUGUUAAGUCAGUUGUGAAAGUUUGCGGCUCAACCGUAAAAUUGCAAGUGAUACUGGCAGUCGUGAGUACAGUUGAGGUAGGCGGAAUUCGUGGUGUAGCGGUGAAAUGCUUAGAUAUCACGAAGAACUCCGAUUGCGAAGGCAGCUUACUAAACUGCCACUGACAUUGAUGCUCGAAAGUGUGGGUAUCAAACAGGAUGAGAUACCCCAGUAGUC